rnacentral:RNase_P_RNA from 1 species
GCAAGCUGGUGGACAGGUCACCUGUUAAAGGAGGAAACUCCUCCCUCCAGGCAGGGGUGCGACCCAGCGAUGGGUAGCCAGAGAUGGCUGGCAAUGGUACAGAAAUGGUAUCCAACCUAGGUAAGAUGAUGCCUAAAAGGCUGAUGCUCCUAGGGUAGGAAUGAAACAACCAACCCGCACGGAGCAAGGCCAAAUAGGAUCGAUGAUUCCUGCCAGAGAUCCAGGUAGGCUGCUCAGCCGAAUCCUGUCUAGAACAGAAGGAGGGUUACGGCCAGCAUGC